GAUGAACGCUAGCUACAGGCUUAACACAUGCAAGUCGAGGGACCAGCGGACGGGUGAGUAACACGUAUCCAACCUGCCCUUUACUCGGGGAUAGCCUUUCGAAAGAAAGAUUAAUACCCGAUAUAAAGGAUGGGGAUGUGUUCCAUUAGGUUGUUGGUGAGGUAACGUCCCACCAAGCUUUCGAUGGAAAGGGGUUCUGAUAGGAAGGUCACCCACAUUGGAACUGAGACACGGUCCCAACUCCGACGGGAGGCAGCAGUGAGGAAUAGUGGUCAAUGGGCGUUAGCCUGAACCAGCCAAGUAGCGUGAAGGAUGAAGGCUUAUGGGUCGUAAACUUCUUUUAUAUAAGAAUAUGUAUUAUAUGAAUAAGGAUCGGCUAACUCCGUGCCAGCAGCCGCGGUAAUUC
rnacentral:rRNA from 1 species